rnacentral:lncRNA from 1 species
UCCAUUGUGAACUCAUUGUUGGUUGGUUGGUGUUGGUUUACAUCUUGAAAUCAGUAAAUAAUCCUUGGGCUGAAACUUAUGAUCUUUGAGAAAUGAAUUUCAAAAACCAGAUGAGUUUUGCUGGGUGUUUCAAGAUGGCCAAACAGGAACAGCUCCAGUCUACAGCUCCCAGCGUGAUCAAUGCAGAAGAAAGAUUAUCCUCGAUACUUGGAUAA